GGGUGUGAGGUUAGUCUUGCUGAGACAUUCCGCCCCGUUGACCAGCUGGGUUGAUUGGUCUCAUCUAGCCAGCUGUGUAGGUGUCCUUGUCUCCCAUCUCCACUCCAUGGGCACCCAUCUUGAAGCUGCAUACUGGAUCAAAGAUGACUGCUCUCUGUUCAGGGGUACAGGAGUAACCUGUUCACCUACUACUACUACUACUAGAGCCUCAAAACAAGCUCUCAAACUCAGUAAACACUUAACCUUAAAGCUUAAAAUACUAGGUAUGGUUGUCAGAUUAUUAUUGAUGUAAUGACAUAACCAAAGAACCCACAUAAGAAAGGAAAGGUUGUGUUGG
rnacentral:sRNA from 1 species